UGACCACUGGUGUAAAAAAAACAACACCCCAUACCCAGACACGACUUAGCAGACACACACACACACUUGGGGGUGUUGGACUCCGAGGACAAAGGACACUGCCAAGGGCCAAUGGGAAGUCGACACUCCCGGAGAAUGGACCGUUCCUCCACUCAUCGACCAGUCAGGAGAGCGGACCCACUAGACUCAACCUACGUCAACACACUGUUAUUUCAUUGUAUAAAUAAAACGCACACUAUGUUUUCGGGGCUCUCUCUUCUGCUAGUUCCCUAAGAGCUAAACGAACGAGUCCGUGCACGCUCAGCCAAAUAUCUUUGUCUCAUAAUAAACAGCCUUACUAUAUACUGAAUCCACCUGGUCCAGCGUCUUGACUUGGUCUCCUUCUCAAGUAACUUUCAUCAACAAAAUUGGUAGCAGAGGAUGGUUUCAAACUCCUGAAUUCGGUCCAUUAAUGGUUGAUGUGAGAGGAGACAAGUCCGGGACAAUCUCGUAAGGACGGGUGACCUGUCCGCAGGAGUCAUCGGCGAUUCUGCUUGCCCCGGGAAACUGAUCAACGAGCUCGACUAAAAAAAGGUAAGCAGAGCCUGUUAAAACAAAAUCUGCAUAUUGUAUUAUAGUCUUUAUCCAAAUUUUGAUCAGUAGUACUGGGCGUGAGUAUGAAUUACUGUUAAUAUUGCAUGAAAUUAUAUAGACAAACGUUAAGGCUGAGUACAAGGAUAUUUGCUGUUAUAGGCCUGAAAAUGUAUCCGUGAGUUUCUGUCCAACUAAAGUGGCGUUUGGUUUGGACAUUAAUACAUAGUCGGGUACAUGGGAUAUUGCAUUCCGUGAGAUUGAGACGGACUGAAGUGACUCUCAGUUCGGAGCAUCAAUACAUAGUCGGGUGCAUAUAAAUUAACCCAGAGAUAUCCGUGAGAUUGGGGCUAACUGAAGUGGUCAUCAGUUAGGAGCACCAAUAUAUAGUCGGAUAAUUAGUUGUUAGGUCAAGUUGCAUCGGUACACUGGGACUAGUCGAAAUGGCGCUCGACUAGGCGCAUCAGUAAAACUGGGAUUGAUCACGUUUGUAACCAAGUAGCAUCAGUGAAACUGGGAUUGGUAAAAGUGUAUCUGUGAGUUUCUGUCCAGCUAAAGUGGCGUUUGGUGUGGGGCAUUAAUACAUAGUCGGGUACAAGUGAUAUUGCAUUCCGUGAAAUUGGGGCGGACUGAAGUGACUCUCAGCCCGGAGCAUCAAUACAGUCGGGUGCAUAGUAUUUAACCUAGAAAUAUCCGUGAGAUUGGGGCUAGCUGAAGUGGUCAUCAGCUAGGAGCAUCAAUAAAUAGUCGGAUACGUGUAAUUCUGUAUUGUUGAUUGGACGUUCCGCGAAUCCCCCUCUAAUUAUAAAUAAUUAUUGAUAAAAUUGUAAUAAUAGCAUUGAUCAGCCGCCGUGCUGUUGGUAUUGUACUGGGGUAUUUAAAACUUUAAUUGAUAACUGCACAACACAUAAUUUUUAGUUCUUUGUCUAUGAGGGUGUGACACCAGAGAUAAGUAAGUGUCCGCGCCGUGAAUACAUCGCUGGUUCCAACCAGCGACGGGCUAAGUAUACAAAGUUAGUGGAACGCGCCACUCAAACCCUUAAGGCUAAAUAGCUAAGGUAUGUGCAGGUUUGAAUAUGCCUGGUCCACCAAGGGAGGGAGGUCAAAUGCCCGCCCUUGAUGUACAACAAAUUGUAAUGUCUGUAUGUGAGAAAACUGACGGAACUUUCUGCAGCUCUCUCCACACAGAUCCGCAAGGUCCAAGAGGGGGAGCUGUUGGGAGACUCGCCAUCACUGAAGGUAAAAGUUGGGGACUGGGUGAGGGUCAAGGUCCACAAGAGAAAGUGGCUGGAACCCAGGUGGACUGGGCCGUACGAAGUGAAGGAAGUUACUUCACACUCUGUCCAGGUCAAAGGUAAAUCAGGGGCACCUUGGCACCACCUUACACAUUGCACUCCAGCCCCAACCCCUUCCAGAACUUUGACUGAAACCAGGGCCGAUUUGCGCGCCCUACAUAAAUUCGAUUCCAACCACUGAAACCUUAGUUGGGGAAAAUGGGACAAUGGCUUCCGUUUCCACGACCUAAGGCACCACGCACAGGGUCGGGGUACCUCCCUCCCUGGGAGAGGCUGGGGAUAUCAGCUCCCCUGUUUGUUAUUUUUGUGAGUGUACACUACUAGGCUGAUCACCACCGCUAUUGACCCUGGUCAGGCUGAUAGGGGCCUAAUGUUUCCUUUGCUUCAGGUGGAAGACACUGAACCCGAGUAUGCAUUCGAAUAGUUUAGUUUUCACGCCUGCCACGCGGGAGGCCCGGGUUCGGAUCCCAGCCCAUGCACCAUGGGACUAAAAUGUAAGAAGAUAUGUUUUGCCUGGAGAGAUAUGGUUGCUAGCGUUUGUUUAAGAUAUAAAUGUAACAUUUUGAUAGCUUGAUUAGUUUACAUUGAAAGGCUAACUAAUUAGAAAAUAAUAGCGAGGGAAUUUUGAUAUAAUACGUUGUCUGUUGCUGGAAAUAGCAUACAAAGAAAGAGUUGAAUGAUGUUAUUUUUUAUAAGUAUGGCGAUUUACAUGUUACUUUUAAAGUCUUGGAUAUUUCAUAAAUGUGAAGCUGAAAGAGAAGAGGAAGUUGUGAAGUUGGGUUUUAAUCUUACUAUAGAGGUAAGGCAGAACGUUGGUUGAGUAGUGGGUUAUAUUUUUGCUUACGGGUAAAACAAAAGAUGAGAAGAGAAUUGGUUAUGUGCGCUGAGCUAUGUUUGGCUGGAAGGAAACAUUUGGUGAUGUGAAGCUGGUUAUUGAUUCUUGGUUUGAAUGUUUAGGUAACACCAGUGAAUUAGAAAAGGAAGUUUAUGUAUUUAAACAUUAUACUCUGAAUUACAGGUGGAGUUAAUUUUAUAUUAACAGGGAAGGUGCACAUUAAACACAGUUGUGUAUAAUGGCAGGGUAUUACUAGCAAACAGAAUGGGCCGGUUUGCAGACAAACUGAAAGGGUUUUAGGGUUUUAAGCAAUCUUGGGUCAAAUUGGUUAAAUAGUACGUUAAAAUAUGGGGUUUCAUAGAUUGAAGUACAGUAUUGUAUCCAAGGGUAGCGCAUGUUCAAUUAAGUUUAAAACUAAUGAUUGGGGGGAGUACAAUGGAAGUAUAAGCAUUUUUAGGUUUUGUUUGUAGUUAACUUUUGGGUUUCUGAAAUCGGUGUAGUAUGAGGAAAUGCUGACCAAGUGGUUAUUUUAUGGAAUAAGGAGCGUUUAGCUCUUUGGGGAAAAAUUCCUAGGGACAGGAUAUCUUAAAGGGGUAGACACACAUGGCAUUUUAAAGUUUUAUUUUCUGAGUUUUAAUUAAACACGUGAAAUUCUUUUGAUAGGGAAUGUUCUGGGAACUUGAGAUACAAAAUGUAGAUAAGGUUAUUAGCUUUCAUUUGUCUAAUGUAGUAAGAAAGAAAAAACGGUUCUGAAAAGGGGGUAUGACUUUUUGACCCCACUGGUGACUUUUCCUUUUGUGGUCUGAUCAGCCGCAAUGAAAAGCCAUUGGAUGGUGAAUUUAAGGUCAUUUGGGAUACUAACUUUAAGGAAAUUUGGAGAACUGAUAAUUAUGAUGGAGUUAAAGUUCUUAGACACAAUUGAUAAUUUGAACCAAUGAGAAGACAAAAUGACGAAAAGGGUACAAUAAUUUUUCUUUGGGGAGUAGUUCAGAUUAGUCAUUUUGAUCUGAUUAUGUUACGUGAAUAUCGUUUGAUAAGUAGGGGUACUUUUUACAUUAUCUAGAUAAGUUUAUUUUCCCUUAGGAAGUCAGCUGUGGUUGUAUUUAGUGGAAGAGAUUUAACACAACAAGACUGGAAUUAAUAUAAUAGUAAUAUUAUAUUUUGUUGUUAAAUAAGUUUUAAAUGGUAGACUUAUGUCAAGCAUUAGGAUAUAUUCUAAGCCAACAGGACAGGAAUAUAUGACAUCUGUAGGGAAUCCAGGAUUAUUGAGGGUAUCGUGAUAAAUUUAGGUAGAUAUGUAAUAAGAUCAUGAGACAUUUAGUACUCCCCUGCACUGCUGAGACCUUGAUGGGUUGGAAGUAGAAGGAGGAGAGCAUAAACAAGGAAGAGAAGAUAAAAGUAACAUAGAAGAAUUAGAUAACGGUUAGUGAGUGGAGACCAGCAUAGUUAAAUUAUAAACCGGUGAGGACAGAAAUAACACUGGAGAGACAGAAAAGACAUAAGAAUAGAAGAUAGCAGGAUCAUUUAGUUAGGUUCAUUUAGUUAGGAUAUUAAUACAUGGAGAGACUAUCGGCUCCAUAGGCAUGUAUUAUAGUUUUGAUUUUAAGUUAUGUUUGGUAAAAUUCGCUAGGAAAAGAUAUGAUAAUUUAGUUGAAAGAAGUUGUUCAAUCUUAAAGAAGAUAGGACACUUGAUAGAGAAAUGCACAGGGUAGCUAAGGAUGAAUGCCCCAGGGAGAAUUGGACAUGUGGUAUAUGAAAGGGGGCAAUCCUACAAGAGAAGGGCUGACAUAAGGAUAAUUUACUAACCUUACAAAAGACAUUGUUAAGAAAUGCAGCAAAAUUGAUACAUGGCUUGAGCCAUGUAUAAAUAGGGGGAGUAUGGUAGAGCAGGCGAUAGAACAGGAUAGGAUGCUACUAGAACAAAAAACAUUUUUGUAGAAUUUCCAUUCCAACAUUUGGAAAUUGACUUAUUGAACUAUUCCGAAAUGAGGGGAAGAAGGGGUGUUUAAAAAUAACAGAUAAGCAUAGCAAAUGGGUAGAAGUGUUCCCAACUUACUUGGUGGACAAGAUUAUGGUAACUAAAAAAUGAGGACAAGAUAUUAUCCCUAGUGUUGAUACUGGGAUCUAUCUCUUUAAAUGAUGGAUGACAUUUUAGCUAAUUAGGUAGAGCCUAUAGAAUGCCAGAUACCAGAACAGGUAGACAUAGAAGUGAAGAAAUACUAGCAGAGCACAUGAGAAGACUGUUUUUUAACCAAACCCGUAUGUCCAAGAUUUUGUGUCCAACAGGUGAAUUACAAGAGAAGGUGAUUCACUCAAUCCGAACUAGGAGACUGGGUGUGGAUCCAGUCCCUGAGGAGAAAAAAACUGGAAGCAGUCCCGUUGGGAAGGCCCAUACCAGGUGCUGUUAAACCAUUGCCUUUGCCAUUAGAAAAGCUGAGAGAGUCACUUGGGUUCAAGUUACCCACUGCAAAAAGGUAUGUACACAUAUGAGCACUGAUGAUCACACACAGAGUUAGGAGAAGAACCGAGAACCAAUAAGGUCCGGGGGUUACCUCCUUAACGAAGAUUUCCUAUCCCGACCGUUCAUCACUGUGUGUGCUCCUAGAGGUGUGAGUAUGGGGUGGUACCAAGCAGAGAGACUAAGGGCAGGAGAGGGUUGACGGUUUUUGGGAAGAGUAGAGACUCUGAGCUGCAUCAUAGUCUAAUCUUUCUGAUAUAUUCAGAUCCACCACCUACUGGUACUAAACAUAGGUUACCGUUGUCAUUGAGAAGAAGUAAAAGAUAAACUAUAUAAUACACUGAUGAGUGACAUACAGAAUAAGGAAUCAAAGAAGAUCAAGAUGUAGAAUUUAAGGUAAACAUUAAACAAUUUUCUGGGGAAGCAGACAACUGUACAGGAAUAUGGGUUGGCCAGAUUGAAGUACUCAGCCAACCCACCUCGGUUCACCUAAAUUCCUGAUGAGCACCAGUGUUAUAGAUACAAGAAUGGCACCGAGAACUUAGAUGAUUUUAAUGGCUGGAAAGGUAAUUGUUAAUGUGACUGACUUAGGUUUGAAAGCACAGGAGAAAAUGUUUAACCUCAUAGCACCUACAACUGAUGAAGGGUGGGCUAGUACCAGCAAAGGACGCAUACGACAGAAAUUACCACAAAGGGUGGUUAGGAAUUGCGCCCUGGGGUUAUUGGUCUAACCAGUUCGAGUUAGUCAUCAGAGGCCAGUUAUAGGAGGCUAAAGUAGGGACAGGAGGAGUUUUGACCAGGAUGGGAGUAGCUUUGUCUAGAGGGAUGCUAUUGGCAUCCUCAGGGAAGUUCCAGAUGAAUACAAAGCUAUGAAUCAAAUAUGUGAAGGCUUUAACACUACAUUAUUUUGGUGGUUAACAAUAAAUAAUAAUGUGGAUUGAAUUAAUGACAUCUUUUAAUCAACAGAGAUUCAUGAAUGAAACAGGGGAUGCAGUAAAGAGGUUCUCUGACCAAUUAUCCGCCACCUCCUCAUGACCUGGUAAAAUAGACUGACUCUCGAUAGAUUACGGGCAAAGAGGAUGGUGUAGGUAGAAUGAUUAGGUUCAUUGCUGUACGUACAUUUUUGAUAACACAGCUCAUGUUUGGGAAAUGGAAAAGUGUUGCAAGAACUGUAUUAUGGGCUGCUUUCACCUGUGUGAGUGUGUUUGGGUUGUGUGGUUGUUGUUUGGUCCCGUGUGCAAGAGGUUUAAUCACCAGAACUCUAGAGAGAUGGAUAACGGAGCAGAUGGUGAGCUACGGACCGAGUCAAAGUUCAGAUCAAUGAGACGACAAGUACCUACCGCCGAGCAAGCUUGUUCCCCUUUUUCUUUGUCACGUCUUGCAGACGUGAAGAGGGGGAUUUGUAAUAAAGAUAAUCUAACUUUUUACCUAGUGAUGUAUAAGGAGGGCAUUUGCACGACAUGCUUUGCAGCGGUGCACAGCAGGGCUCCAGAGACAUAUUGGGCAACCAACUGAUACCAAUCACGAGCACACUCAGAGACAAUUGGCUGACUUAAGCACUCACAUAACAUGACAAAACAGGAAGCGCCCUAGCCACACGAACUGGCCACUGGUGUAAAAAAACAACACCCCAUACCCAGACACGACUUAGCAGACACACACACACACACACACACACACUUGGGGGUGUUGGACUCCGAGGACAAAGGACACUGCCAAGGGCCAAUGGGAAGUCGACACUCCCGGAGAAUGGACCGUUCCUCCACUCAUCGACCAGUCAGGAGAGCGGACCCACUAGACUCAACCUACGUCAACACACUGUUAUUUCAUUGUAUAAAUAAAACGCACACUAUGUUUUCGGGGCUCUCUCUUCUGCUAGUUCCCUAAGAGCUAAACGAACGAGUCCGUGCACGCUCAGCCAAAUAUCUUUGUCUCAUAAUAAACAGCCUUACUAUAUACUGAA